CCUACGGGGGGCAGCAGUGGGGAAUAUUGCACAAUGGGGGAAACCCUGAUGCAGCGACGCCGCGUGAGUGAAGAAGUAAUUCGUUACGUAAAGCUCUAUCAGCAGGGAAGAAACACUGACCUUACGGUCAGCAGACGGUACCUGAGUAAGAAGCCCCGGCUAACUACGUGCCAGCAGCCGCGGUAAUACGUAGGGGGCAAGCGUUAUCCGGAUUUACUGGGUGUAAAGGGAGCGUAGACGGUUAAUCAAGUCAGAAGUGAAAACCCAGGGCUCAACCUUGGGACUGCUUUUGAAACUGAGUAGCUAGAGUGCAGGAGAGGUAAGCGGAAUUCCUAGUGUAGCGGUGAAAUGCGUAGAUAUUAGGAGGAACACCAGUGGCGAAGGCGGCUUACUGGACUGUAACUGACGUUGAGGCUCGAAAGCGUGGGGAGCAAACAGGAUUAGAUACCCUUGUAGUC
rnacentral:rRNA from 1 species